rnacentral:rRNA from 1 species
UACGGGGGAGCAAGCGUUGUUCGGAUUUACUGGGCGUAAAGGGCGCGUAGGCGGCCACCGCAAGUCGACUGUGAAAUCUCCGGGCUUAACCCGGAAAGGUCAGCCGAUACUGCGGGGCUAGAGUGCAGAAGGGGCAACUGGAAUUCUCGGUGUAGCGGUGAAAUGCGUAGAUAUCUGGAGGAACACCGGUGGCGAAGGCGGCAUCCUGGACCGACACUGACGCUGAGGAGCGAAAGCCAGGGAGCAAACGGG